rnacentral:rRNA from 1 species
GAUGAACGCUGACAGCAUGCUUAACACAUGCAAGUCGAGGGGGAAGUGGUGCUUGCUCCAUGGCAACCAUGGCGGACGGGUGAGUAACGCGUAAGGGACUUACCUGCAGGACUGGGAUAACAGGGGGAAACUCCUGACAAGACCGGAUAAUGUCAUGGAUCUGCAUGGCUUUUUGAUGAAAGGAGACGCCUGCGGAGAGCCUUGCGUCCGAUUAGCUAGUUGGUGAGGUAAUGGCUCACCAAGGCGAAGAUAGGUAGCCGGCCUGAGAGGGUGGACGGCCACAAGGGGACUGAGAUACGGCACUUACUACUCCGGGAGGCAGCAGUGGGGAAUAUUGGACCAUGGGGGCAACCCUGAUCAAGCAAUUCUGUGUGCACGAAGAAGGUUUUCGGAAUGUAAAGUGCUUUCAGCAGGGAAGAAGUAAGUGACGGUACCUAAAGAAGAAGCGACGGCUAAAUACGUG